UACGUAGGGGGCAAGCGUUGUCCGGAUUUAUUGGGCGUAAAGGGCGUGUAGGCGGCCUGACAGGUCAGCUGUGAAAACUCGAGGCUCAACCUCGAGACGUCGGUUGAAACCAUCUGGCUAGAGUCCGGAAGAGGAGUGUGGAAUUCCCGGUGUAGCGGUGAAAUGCGCAGAUAUCGGGAGGAACACCUGUGGCGAAAGCGGCGCACUGGACCACAACUGACGCUGAGGCGCGAAAGCUAGGGGAGCAAACAGG
rnacentral:rRNA from 1 species